AGAGUUUGAUCCUGGCUCAGAUUGAACGCUGGCGGCAUGCUUUACACAUGCAAGUCGAACGGCAGCGGGGGCUUCGGCCUGCCGGCGAGUGGCGAACGGGUGAGUAAUGCAUCGGAACGUGCCCAGUCAUGGGGGAUAACUACGCGAAAGCGUAGCUAAUACCGCAUACGCCCUGAGGGGGAAAGCGGGGGAUCGCAAGACCUCGCGUGAUUGGAGCGGCCAAUGUCGGAUUAGCUAGUUGGUGGGGUAAAGGCCUACCAAGGCGACGAUCCGUAGCGGGUCUGAGAGGAUGAUCCGCCACACUGGGACUGAGACACGGCCCAGACUCCUACGGGAGGCAGCAGUGGGGAAUUUUGGACAAUGGGGGCAACCCUGAUCCAGCCAUGCCGCGUGAGUGAAGAAGGCCUUCGGGUUGUAAAGCUCUUUCAGACGGAAAGAAAUCGGGUGGGUCAA
rnacentral:rRNA from 1 species